AGAGUUUGAUCCUGGCUCAGGACGAACGCUGGCGGCGUGCUUCACACAUGCAAGUCGAACGGGGCUCAUCCGGUGGCAACACUGGAGAAGGCCUAGUGGCGAACGGGUGAGUAACACGUGAGGAACCUGCCCCGAAGACCGGGAUAACAGCGGGAAACCGCUGCUAAUACCGGAUGACCCCAGCUGGUCGCAUGGCCGGCUGAGGAAAUGGGCCUACCGCUUCGGGAGGGCCUCGCGGCCUAUCAGCUUGUUGGUGGGGUAAUGGCCUACCAAGGCUACGACGGGUAGCUGGUCUGAGAGGACGACCAGCCACACUGGGACUGAGACACGGCCCAGACUCCUACGGGAGGCAGCAGUGGGGAAUCUUGCGCAAUGGGCGAAAGCCUGACGCAGCAACGCCGCGUGAGGGAUGAAGGUCUUCGGGUUGUAAACCUCUUUCGAGCAGGGACGAUAGUGACGGUACCUGCAGAAGAAGCUCCGGCCAACUACGUGCCAGCAGCCGCGGUGAUACGUAGGGAGCGAGCGUUGUCCGGAUUCAUUGGGCGUAAAGAGCUCGUAGGCGGCUCAGUAAGUCAGGUGUGAAAUCCUCAGGCUCAACCUGAGGUCGCCAUCUGAUACUGCUGUGGCUAGAGCCCGGUAGGGGUACACGGAAUUCCUGGUGUAGCGGUGAAAUGCGCAGAUAUCAGGAGGAACACCAGUGGCGAAGGCGGUGUACUGGGCCGGUGCUGACGCUGAGGAGCGAAAGCGUGGGGAGCGAACAGGAUUAGAUACCCCCGUAGUCC
rnacentral:rRNA from 1 species